AUGGACUAGAGUUUGUAUUUUAUUAUUAUUAUUAUUAUUAUUUUUAAUGAAAAACCUUGUUUAUGGGUCGAUGUUAAUAAUUAGGCAAAAGUGCUAUAAACACCUCUUUAAUAUUGAAAAAUGUAUUCAUCAACUAUUAACCUCCAGAGAAUGAACUAAAGUUUGUAUUUUUUAUUUUUAUUUUUUUUUAAUGAAAAACCUUGUUUAUGGGUGGAUGUUAAUAAUUAGGCAAAAGUGUUAUAAACACCUCUUUAAUAUUGAAAAAUGUAUUCAUCAACUAUUAAUUAUUAUAAUUAAGUCCUUCAACUUUUAAUGCAAACAACUUUUAAAAGUGCCCACGUUGCACUCCAAAGAGUGACACUCAUCAAAUUUGAUCCUUAAAUGAUAAAAGUAAUCCGAAGUUAGACUAUAAGAUAAUUUGACCAAAACAAAAAAUUAUGAUCUAUAAGAAAAAUAUAACAAAGGAAAGGUCCCACCGAGAUUUGAACUCGGGUUACUGGAUUCAGAGUCCAAUGUCCUAACCACUAGACCAUGGGACCAUUCUUGUCAAUUUAUCCAGCAUAAAACAAUAAAUUAUCAAUAAACGAAUAAACAGUUAAGAAAAAAAAAAUGGUCGCGAAUUGAAAGACUAGGAAUGUGGCGAAGGAGGUUCAAUAGCAUUGCAGGGCCCACAAGCGCGUUGACGGAGAAGAAAUGGGACGCGCUUGUGGUAGGCGGUGGCCAUAACGGCCUCACCGCCGCCGCUUACCUCGCUCGGGCCUGCCUCUCCGUCGAAGUAUCAUUGGCGGCGCCGCCGUCACCGAAGAACUCGUCCCAGGCUUCAAGUUCUCCCGCUGUAGCUACGUCCAGAGCCGCCUCCGCCCCUCCAUCAUCCAGGGAAUUAGAGUUAGUUAGACAUGGAUUGAAGUUGUUGAAGCCCAAGAUUUCAUCCUUCACACCCUGUCUUGAUGGGCAUUUUCUUCUUUUGGGGUCAAAUCCAGAGCAGAAUUAUUCUUAAAUUUCGAAGUUUUCGAAGCAUGAUGCAGAUGCUUAUCCAAGAUAUGAAGAUCAGCUGCAUAAAUUUUGUAAGGUGACGGACUUUCUUUUGGAUUCGCCUCCUCCCGAAACAUUGUAUGAGGUUUCAUCUUUUAAGGACCGGUUGAGGGAUAAGUUGAAAAAAUCAGUUUUUUGGAGUCGGUGCCUACGGCAGUUUCUCUCCUUGGGGCAGAAAGAUAUGGUGGAUUUUAUGGACCUUCUAUUGUCCCCAACAUCAAAGGUUUUUGAAUAACUGGUUUGAGGUCAUCAUGCUUCUUAAUUAUGUGGUCAUGUUUUGUUUGUUAUCUUUUGGAUGUAAAAUGAUGGUAUGGCAUAGCUUAUCAAAUCUUGCGCCCAUGAUUUCACAUCAUUUCGCUCUCUUUUGAUGAUUUAAAGUAGACAGAUGUUCUAGUAGAAUGUCCUAUUAAAAUAUUGUAUGUCCAGAAAACAUAAUGUUUGAUUCUAUUUCAAAUUAGUAAACUUUUAAUGUUAUUUCCAUAUGCAUAUGUUGCUUGCAACAGUUUAUUUGAAAUUUGUAAUUACAAAGCAUAUAAUAUAAUUUGGGUUAAGUGCAUUAAACCCCCUCAACUAUGAGCCAAUUGCAAGAAACCUCCUGAAUUAAAAAAUACCCCCUCAAUUAUAAAAGUGUUGCACUUAACCCUACGGUGUCAAACAACUGUUAACCAAAAAAUAAAAUUACUGUUUUGCCCAUUAAUUAAAUGAUGCCGUAUCAUAGAUAUCCAACUUCAAUUACUGAUUUGGCCAUUGUAAUCUCCCUAUCCAAUGAAAAUUUAACAAGUCAUCCUAUCAUCAAUAAUUUUUCUUAUGGAGACUAACACACCUCUCCCCCCCUAGCUAACCCUAACGCCUCCCCCACCCUUUCCAUCUGUAUCUUCACCAUCGUUCCCCACUCCCCACCACCCUUUUUCUUCUUUCUCAUUCUCUCUCUGUCACACCUCAAAGCUAAAUUGUCAAUCUAUUGUUCUACAAAUUCGAUCAAAAUACACCACAAAAGUUUCUGCUCGACAAACCAGUGCCGAGGUGGAUGAGUUAUUCGGCAAAGGCAAUGGAGACGAGGACUAGGCCUUAAAGCAUGUGAAAAAAAAGAAGAAGGAAUUGUUGAAUUGGUUCUCAAUCUCUACUCCAUCAAUGUGUGGAUUCAUUAUAGGUUUUCUAUGUAAUUAUAUUUACUCAUAGACACUAAUCAAAAUAUGAAGAUUUAGAGGGUGGAGAUUGAUUGAUGCUGGUGAUUAGAGAGAGAAAAUACGGAGAUUGAUUAAGGCAGGGGACCAGAGAGAGAGAGAGAGAGAGAGACAGAGGGAAGAAGUGAAAAAUGAUUUUAGGCUCGGUACUUUCAUUUUUUAACUGGAUUAACCUGUUACGUGUUGUCGCCGAUCACCAAACCAACCCAAUCCCAACUGCCCAAAAAAAUUAGUGUUAUUCUUUCAAUCAAUUCCCCUCCAAACAUCGACCUUUGCAACAAAACAAUUUUUUGUUCAAGGAUUUUCCACCUUUUCGUCGUUCUAGUCAUUGCUGGGGUUGAAGGUUAAAGAGAAAAAAUAAAAAAUAAAAAAGAGAGGGCGGUGGUUUGGAGAGAGAGAGAGGGGGUGGUGGCGGUUGUUGACGGUGGAAGUGAUUGUGAGGGAGAGAGAGCGGUGGCAGCAGCAGCCAUGGACGGACAGUGGAGGUGUUGUCCAUGGCUGAACAGGUGGUUCGAAGGGGGCAAAGAGAGAUUUUGGAACACGCGCGUGUAUAUAUAAUAUUCAUUUAAUAACUAUAAGGUUAUUUUUGUCUUUCUGAAUUUUUGCCUAGUCACAUGUUUCUUUUCCGUUAGAUUUCAAACGGCUAACUAAUAUUUUGCAACAAACUGAAUAGUUUAGGGGGUUAAGUGUCUUUCUCAUAGUUCAGGGGGUUUUUUGAGAAAGAGAAAAAUGUUCAGGGGGAUUUAAUGCACUUAACCCAUAUAAUUUUGAUAUAAUUUAUAAAAAAAUGUAGAGUUCUAUCACCAGUACCAGCUUGAGUGGCAUCUCCUCCACAGAUUCAAAUACCAAUUGUAGUUCAUCAAUAUGUUAAAGUUUGAAGUAAAAAAUCGUGUAUCAGUGCAUUUUGUGCCCUAUUUGCAAUGUUAAAAGAAUUGAUAACUGUGACGCCUGACUCUAUUAUGUUAUGCCCAAUAUGGCACCACGUCCGAUGCACCACAUCUGCAUCUGCUUCUAAUAACCAUGGUCCCAACUAUUUGGGGAUGGCUACCUGAAUCUUAUUCCACAAUUAUGCUCUAUUUAAAGUCAUGAUUUCAGUUAAACAAGACUAUCUAUUUCAUUACUAUUUCAACUCAAGUUAUCUCUUUCUCUUAUCAUUACCCUCAAAGUGGACCAUGCCAUUCUUUCUUACCUUAAUUGAUGUUCGAUGCACAUGGCCAAAGCAUUUUUGUCGCGUUUCAUUGAUAUCAGCAUACAUGCUGAAUCUUCUGUUUGAGUACCCAAUUUAAUUCUAUUGUAUAUGCAACUGAUAUAUUAUUCAUGCAGCAUUGUACAGAAAAUCUUCUAUGUGAGAGCUCUCAACAGAUCAAAUAAUUUUGGUUUUUAUUUUUUAUGCUGUCAUUUGCUUCAUGCCCUUUUUGGUAUAUUAGUGGAGUUUUAAACAUGUAAUUUGAACACUGAAUUUCAGAAGUUGUCAUCUGAAUGAUGCUUCCCACCAAUUUUGGUAAAUAAUAUAUACGGACGGAUUUGAUGAAGCAAACACUCGCAAGGGAUGCUAUCAUUGGAAGUAUGGUAAGACUCUUAUUCUUGUUAAACAAUGAAUGUGCGUUGGGAUUAUAUCAACUUUAAACCAUUUUUGUGGCAGUCAAUGGAAAUUGACUCUGGAGAAAAUAUUGAAAUUACAAUUUUUGUUUCCUCUCUUCCUCACCUUGAUUCCUGUGUUAAACCCUUCCAAUGCACAAAUCUUAUUGUUUAAAUGAUUGGAUGUUCUUGUAAAAAAUAAGUGGUAAGAAGGUGGGUAUGUCAUCUGUGUUGACUUGUUUAAUGAAGUUAGAUAGUGUAUUAGCUUUUUACUGCAAUGGCAACAUCAGAAUUGCAUCAUCUACAGGGAGUUGUAAAUUUGUUUAACCUAUUCUUCUAUCAGUACUUCCUAUGCACUUGCAGACAGGAAUUUAUGUUAGGAUAAUCAAUGGAUUCAUUCCCUUUCCUCUCUUUAUGUAGCUUAGAUGUUCUUUCUGUUGCGGAUCAAGAGUUCAUUAGAAUGGCUUGAAUGAUGAUCCUAUUGCUUGAUAGUAUUAUUAUUUUUUUUUUUUUCCCUUGUAAAUAUGCUAGUAAAGUUGUUUCAUUAACAAAAAGAAAUGCUCCAAUGAGGUUUGGAUGAGUUUCUCAAUUGUGUCAAUGGCUGCUGGUUUAAUUGAUUAUUGCAUCUGUUAUUCUAAUAUACAUGGCAUUUUAAGUUGACUAUAGGCAAGUAUCCAUACACCUGGGAGUGGCUAUGUUCUUCUAUAUCUUGUAAUGGGUGAAACUGAUGGUGAUCGCAAUAUUUGGUUGUAAGUGUCUUCUUUUCUGAAGUUUAUGUAGUGGAAAAUUUGUUAACCAUGUAUCACGAAGAGCAAACUGUCAACUUCGUAUCAAGAUAUAAUUAUAUACAUACACCACACACAUAUAUUGAUUACCAUCAUCCCAUGCAUGUAAUGUGUAUCAAGUGUCAUCUCAAAUGAAUAUUGUUGGCCUUUCAUUCAGGAUACAAUUUUUGAACAGAAUGCUGCUAUAUGAAUCAAAUGGUUGUCUUCCUUUCUGGUUCAUUACGGAUAUAAUUCAUGAUACAACUCUUAACUUUCUUCAUUCCACUUUGGAGAAAAUUUAUAAGUCCUACCAUACCGGCUUGCUGCUGAUGGUUGGAGUAUUAAUGGUUGGAGCAAUUCAAAGCAUUAAUGGUUGCAGUAAUUCAAUUACACAUAUAAUACCUGAUGGCUUGCUUUGUGAUUAUAAUAGAUUUAAGUUCCUCAAGUUGUUCAGCUAUCUGUUUACUUUGUUCUGUUACAUGUUCUCGCAUUUCUUCUGAUCCUACCAUCCUCGGCUUGGAGCCUUUAAAAUUCCUCAAUCCAUUGAAUGAAAAAUUGUGUACGGACGCUUUUCCUGGGAUACAUACAUUAUAUUAAUUUCUCUUACUUGGGUCAAUUUGAGAUAACACUUUCAGACCAUAAAGAUAUUACUUCUGGUAGGCAUAUCAUUGAAUGUUGUUAGGUAUAUGACCCACAGUCAUUGUAGGCACGUUGAAGGUGGGAUGGGUUCUGUAUCCUUGGCUAUAAGUAAGGCUGCUAGGGAAGCUGGGGCUCAUAUUGUAACUAGCACAGAUGUAUUCUUGUGGUAAUCAUCCUUUCAUCCUUAAUGGUAACUAUGCUCAUGAAUAUACUUUUUUCAUUGAAUAUAAAAAGUGAAAAAGAAAAGAAAAGAAAGAUAAAAGAUAUUUCUCUUCAAGCAAUGACUUACAACCUGAUAUUUCAUUCAUCCAUCAGGUUUUGGUUCGACUACCUGUCAGUGAAAGUUAUUAUAAAAUUCCAUAUUUCCUUUAUUCCAGGAUUUGUUCAAAUUUUUUAAAAUUACUGGAAGUUUCAUGCAGAUAAUGAUUUCAUUUAAAAUUUUAUUGACAUUUUUAAAUGGGUAAUAAUGGAAAUCAUAUCUUUAAAUUUGAAUUUUUUUUCGAAACUUAAAACCUUAUGUUGCAUUUUAGGAGUAACUAUUUAAUUUUUUAUGAGGCUUUUUUUUUUUUCUUUUCUUUUCAGUUGAUGGUAAUUUUUUACUGAGGUUGUGGGUUCCCUUCAUAAUUCUAACAAUUUUAAGUGUUAUUGUCAUUCAAAUCUUCUUAAAAUCAAGGUUAAUAUAGAGGACAGAAAUGAACAUAAAAAACAGCCUUUUUAGUUAAACCUAUUUACCAUCCAAUAACUAGAAAUCAUGAUUACGCAUGGAAGGUGUUGAUCUCACUCUCGAACCAGUAGAAGCAUGUAAAGCAGCCAACACCUAGGAUUCAUUUUUUCAGUUCUUUCUUCAUUCUCCUGUCCCACAGUUAGGUUCACUAUUUAGAAAUUUCUCUCCAAUUUUUAUUACUUACCUUUCUCUAUAGGCUCUGCAAUUGAUGAUUGAAGACUCCGGCAAAGUAAACGGGGUAUUGCUGGCUGAUGGGACACGUGUGUAUUCUUCUGUUGUCUUGUCUAAUGCAACUCCCUAUAAGACUUUCUUGGAACUAGUGCCUCCAAAUGCUCUGCCAGAUGACUUUGUUCGUGCCAUUAAGUACUCUGAUUACAAUUCUGUACGAUCUGUUUGCUAACAACUUACUUUUAUUAAUACACGGUAAACAUAAUUCUUGAUUUUUGUCUGCUCAUUUCUGGCAAAGGUUCCUUUUAAUUUUAAUUUUUUUUUUCCUUUCAGUACUACUCUAAAUGAAAAUCCAGGGUGCAACUACUUACCUGAGGGGGAUGUUGAAAGGAAUAAAAAAAUUGAAGAGAGAAAUUAAAUAUGAAGAACACAAGAAUAUAACAUGGUUCGGCCACUACGGCCUACAUCCACGGCACACAAAGCCCAAAGGGCUACAUCACUUUUAUUAUUCUCUCUUAAUAUUGGUUACAAUGAGCACCUCUUUUUUUAUAAGUGAAAGAAUAUAAGAGAUAAAUAUGGAAAUACAUUAAUGGAGGAUUCCUAGAAUCAAAUCACUCCCAUCAAUAUUCUAUCCUAGGCUAAAAUCACUUCUUAUGAUAUUCUCCCAACAGGUCAGCCAACACAUCUGACGAGUAGGAAAAAAAAAAUUGAUAUUAAUGUCAUCUAGAGCCCAAUUGGCACAUGCGUUGUUAUGUUUGGAAAAGAUUUUGAGUCUCAGAUUUUUACAAACCUAUAAACUAUCAUGUGGAUAAGGAUAAUCACGGACUCCAAAAUAGCAAUUUACAAUUUUCUUGGGGUCAUAUCCUGGGAAUAUAUAAAUAAGAGUGAUGUUAUUGAUAGGUUGAGAGGUGUUAAAUGAUAAUUUCUGACUUUGAUUUUUCUUCAGUAAUAUCAGAAUUGGUGAUACCGAUUGGCCAAAUGUUUAUAUUUACUCCAUUCCCAAUCGGCACUGUUUGUAGUUACUACAUUUGCUUUACAACCUUCCAAUUUCGUUCUUGAUCAUCAAAGGAUGAUUUUUUCUCUGCCAAUCAGAAUUUUCAUUCAAUCAUUAAAACUCAAGUCAACUCAACAAUUAAAGUACAAAUAUUAUAUUUGUAUAGGUGAUGUGAACUACAAUUGCAUUUAUUAAGCUUUCAGGGAAUUUUAUUUAUGUGUGUGUCUAUUUUUAAUUCCAUGGAUGGAAAAGUUUGUUUAUUGGCGGUAACUGAAGCUCAGUUUCAUAUUGCUGUUGCUGAAACUGGGAACAACAAAAAUUAAUGUAGCUGUUGAUUCAUUGCCCCUGUUCCCUUGUUGCGAGUUGGAUCAUCCAGGGUGGGUCCUCAUCAUUCAGCUAUCAUUCAUAUCGGCUAUGAAAGUUGUGCGACUAUGCUAAUGGCUUGUCAAGAUGCUUGGAAUGGGCUUACCAUCACGAAGACCUGUUAUGGUGAUGACAAUUCCUUCUUCAUUGGACAAGACUAUUUCUCCCCUGGAAUCAUAUGCACAACAAUGUUUCACGAUGAUUGAUGAAUAUGCCCCUGGCUUCAGCUCAUCAGUUAUCAGCUAUGACAUGUUGACACCACCAGAUCUGGAAAGGGUGAUUGGUCUGACAGGGUGAAACAUUUUUCACGGUGCUAUGGGUUUGGAUUCAAUAUUCUUGAUGCGACCUGUCGAGGGAUGAUAUUUUGGUCGCAGGUCAGGUUUCCGAACACCUGUUAGAGGGCUGUAUAUGUGUGGGAGUGGAUCACAUCCUGGUGGAGUUAAGACCCAAAUCCCUCCCCCUUUCUUCUCUCUCUGCCGGUCUUGAAACCUUGAGCUAGAGUUUGGGAGUUAAGGCCCAAAUCCACUGGGACAAAGGUAGGCCGGUCAAAUUCAUUUUGUCAACAGUAAGCAUCACUUGUUCUCUGACGAGGAGAUCCAUUUUUCCCAUCAACUGUUCACUUAGGCUCCGAGUAAAAUAUUUUCCUUAUAAAAUAUUUUUAAAAUAAAUACUCAAUGAGCCCAUAUUUGUAACUCAAUAUGCCUGUGGUAUGUCAUAGUUAGUAAAAUAAGGUGUAAGAAAAAUAUGUGUUCCUAAACAUAAAGAUAUAUAAUUUGCUUUUCGUUUACAAAAUGUUUUUUUAAAAAAAUGGCAUAAAAGAAAGAAAAGGAAAAAAUACUAAUAAGGAUAUGUUCGGUUUUUUUUUUUUUAAUGUUCACCAUUAAAUUAUUUCAAACAUACAACAUUUUUCUUCUGUUAUGCCUUGUAUGUUUUUAUGCCUUAUGUGUUUUUAUUUUAUUAAUGAAAGGACUAAAUAAUAAGAAAAUACGUAUGGAGUGUUAUAUAGUGACGAGUAUCCUCGAACAUUGAAGAGUGACUUUGUAGGAAUUGGUAAAUUGAAAAAUAUUUGAGAAGAAUUGAGAAUUUAUUAAUAUAUAGAUAUUUUGGUGAAAGAGUUUUAGAAAUUAAAUCUUAAUUUGAAUUGUAGUCAUCUUAACUUUUGAGGUGGAUAUAUAUAUAUAUGUAUGUAUGUAUGUAGGAGUCGAGUUUCAAGAUCAAGGGUGAGAACUUUCGCAAGUGAUAAAAAAAUGUUCCUGCUAAUAAUGCGUACUUUUAACAAAUUUAAUAACUAGGAUUUAUGUAUGUUUUUAUCUGUUAUAAUUUCAUUAUUAUUUAAAUCAGUUGUUUUGUCACACGGUGCCUCCCUUGUAAAAAAAACAAACAAACAAAAAAAGUUGUUUUGUCACACUCGGUUUACACAUUUAUAAACAAUCCAGUGUAAGAGUGAGUUUGUACAAGGAGGGAGAAAAAAAAAAAACACCAAA